AUGCUAAUACCGCAUACGCCCUACGGGGGAAAGCAGGGGAUCUUCGGACCUUGCGCUAAUAGAUGAGCCUAAGUCAGAUUAGCUAGUUGGUGGGGUAAAGGCCUACCAAGGCGACGAUCUGUAGCGGGUCUGAGAGGAUGAUCCGCCACACUGGGACUGAGACACGGCCCAGACUCCUACGGGAGGCAGCAGUGGGGAAUAUUGGACAAUGGGCGCAAGCCUGAUCCAGCCAUGCCGCGUGUGUGAAGAAGGCCUUUUGGUUGUAAAGCACUUUAAGCGAGGAGGAGGCUACUUGGAUUAAUACUCUAGGAUAGUGGACGUUACUCGCAGAAUAAGCACCGGCUAACUCUGUGCCAGCAGCCGCGGUAAUACAGAGGGUGCGAGCGUUAAUCGGAUUUACUGGGCGUAAAGCGUGCGUAGGCGGCUUCUUAAGUCGGAUGUGAAAUCCCUGAGCUUAACUUAGGAAUUGCAUUCGAUACUGGGAAGCUAGAGUAUGGGAGAGGAUGGUAGAAUUCCAGGUGUAGCGGUGAAAUGCGUAGAGAUCUGGAGGAAUACCGAUGGCGAAGGCAGCCAUCUGGCCUAAUACUGACGCUGAGGUACGAAAGCAUGGGGAGCAAACAGGAUUAGAUACCCUGGUAGUCCAUGCCGUAAACGAUGUCUACUAGCCGUUGGGGCCUUUGAGGCUUUAGUGGCGCAGCUAACGCGAUAAGUAGACCGCCUGGGGAGUACGGUCGCAAGACUAAAACUCAAAUGAAUUGACGGGGGCCCGCACAAGCGGUGGAGCAUGUGGUUUAAUUCGAUGCAACGCGAAGAACCUUACCUGGUCUUGACAUAGUAAGAACUUUCCAGAGAUGGAUUGGUGCCUUCGGGAACUUACAUACAGGUGCUGCAUGGCUGUCGUCAGCUCGUGUCGUGAGAUGUUGGGUUAAGUCCCGCAACGAGCGCAACCCUUUUCCUUAUUUGCCAGCGGGUUAAGCCGGGAACUUUAAGGAUACUGCCAGUGACAAACUGGAGGAAGGCGGGGACGACGUCAAGUCAUCAUGGCCCUUACGACCAGGGCUACACACGUGCUACAAUGGUCGGUACAAAGGGUUGCUACCUAGCGAUAGGAUGCUAAUCUCAAAAAGCCGAUCGUAGUCCGGAUUGGAGUCUGCAACUCGACUCCAUGAAGUC
rnacentral:rRNA from 1 species